CCUACGGGGGGCUGCAGUGGGGAAUUUUGGACAAUGGGCGAAAGCCUGAUCCAGCCAUUCCGCGUGAGUGAAGAAGGCCUUCGGGUUGUAAAGCUCUUUCGCAAGGGAAGAAAACUUAGGCGCUAAUAUCGCUUGAGGUUGACGGUACCUUGAUAAGAAGCACCGGCUAACUACGUGCCAGCAGCCGCGGUAAUACGUAGGGUGCGAGCGUUAAUCGGAAUUACUGGGCGUAAAGCGUGCGCAGGCGGUUUUGUAAGUCAGAUGUGAAAUCCCCGAGCUCAACUUGGGAACUGCGUUUGAAACUACAAGACUAGAAUAUGUCAGAGGGGGGUAGAAUUCCACGUGUAGCAGUGAAAUGCGUAGAGAUGUGGAGGAAUACCAAUGGCGAAGGCAGCCCCCUGGGAUAAUAUUGACGCUCAUGCACGAAAGCGUGGGGAGCAAACAGGAUUAGAUACCCUAGUAGUC
rnacentral:rRNA from 1 species